rnacentral:rRNA from 1 species
GCAAGUCGAACGAGAACGUCUCCUUCGGGAGCUUAUUACAGUGGCGAACGGGUGAGUAACGCGUAGGUUACAUGCCUCUUAGUUUGGGAUAAGCAUUGGAAACGAUGUCUAAUACCAGAUGUGAACUUCGGUUUAAAGGCUUCGGCCGCUAAGAGAUUGGCCUGCGUUGCAUUAGCUAGUUGGUAAGGUAAUGGCUUACCAAGGCAUCGAUGCAUAGCGGAUCUGAGAGGAUGAUC